rnacentral:lncRNA from 1 species
GAAAUCUUUAAUGGAAGAUGAUUAAGAUCUUUACCAACAAAACUUUCAAUAACCACAAACUUUAGAUUAUUCACACACAUUACAAAAGCUUAGAAUAUCAAAACCAAACACGAACUCACUGUUCGAUUCAGUCGAACACUUAAAACUAAGAUUCAAUACACAAACACUGGCCAUUAACUCUUUCAAUGUCCGUUGUAAGAUACAUACACCAUGUGAGGAACUUUACCAUCAUUAAAAGGCAAACUCACAUACUCCUGCAAACUCCUCUGCAAUCUCCCAAGCAAGCUCGCCAUGAACAGCUUUACAGUACAUAUACAUCGCGGUGGUGGUCACCGCAAGAUUAUACAACAUCAAACCUGUUAAAACCCAGGGCGGAGCCCAAUAAUUGAUAAAAAAAACAUCACAUGAUCUUAUAGACUAUUUAGAAAGUGAUUGUAGAUAAAAAAAUGUGGUAAAUCGCUUCUCAAAUAAUGUCUAGGGGAUCAAGAAAUAAACAUCUUAGAUCUUCACAUAAUUAUCCUAACUUAACUCAUAGAUCCACAAAAUGACUAUCCACUAAUCACCAUGAAAUACUUAAGCACAUGAAAAGUUUAGAGAUAAACAUUGUAUAUAACAAGCUAAUCACAAUAUACAUACAAGAUUAUAUGAAAUACUUUCUUAUAAAAUAAAAAGAUUUAAACUUUUACAAAAGUAAAUAGAUAAGGUGUUUGGCUUAAAAACAUAUCAAUAGUAGGCUAAAAUAAAACCGGAUCAACCCAAUAAACUCGGAUCAUCCCAAAUUAAACCAUGUCAAAAGCUGUUUCAAAUGCCAAACGCUGAUCGUUGAUCGCCAAAUACCACUCACAGUCUUUCUUAAAUUGUUUGGGACUGCAACUGCAUUUCAUCUUUUUCUUCCACAUUGCAACAAGUCUCUCUCCGCAGUGCUCCCUGAACGUAGAUCACCGUGUCAGUGGUCUGCGUUCGAACUUC